AGAGUUUGAUCCUGGCUCAGGAUGAACGCUAGCGGCAGGCUUAACACAUGCAAGUCGAGGGGCAGCAUGUCGGAACCUUCGGGUUCUGAUGAUGGCGACCGGCGCAAGGGUGCGUAACGCGUGAGCAACUUGCCCGUUUCAGGGGAAUAACCGUUGGAAACGACGCCUAAUACCCCAUGGUAUUGAGUUUAGGCAUCUUAACUCAAUUAAAGAAAUUCGGAAACGGAUAGGCUCGCGUGACAUUAGAUAGAUGGCGGGGUAACGGCCCACCAUGUCGACGAUGUCUAGGGGUUCUGAGAGGAAGGUCCCCCACACUGGAACUGAGACACGGUCCAGACUCCUACGGGAGGCAGCAGUGAGGAAUAUUGGUCAAUGGUCUGACGACUGAACCAGCCAUGCCGCGUGAAGGCGACGGCCCUAUGGGUCUUAAACUUCUUUUGCGAGGGAGCAAUAAGGUCCACGUGUGGACUGAUGAGAGUACCUCGCGAAUAAGCAUCGGCUAACUCCGUGCCAGCAGCCGCGGUAAUACGGGGGAUGCAAGCGUUAUCCGGAUUUAUUGGGUUUAAAGGGUGCGUAGGCGGCCUGUUAAGUCAGCGGUGAAAUUCAGGGGCUCAACCUCUGCCGUGCCGUUGAAACUGGCAAGCUUGAAUGCGGAUGCCGUGGGAGGAAUGUGUGGUGUAGCGGUGAAAUGCAUAGAUAUCACACAGAACACCGAUUGCGAAGGCAUCUCACGAAUCCGCGAUUGACGCUGAGGCACGAAAGCGUGGGGAUCAAACAGGAUUAGAUACCCUGGUAGUCCACACCGUAAACGAUGAAUACUAGGUGUGGGCAUGCAAGGCAUGUCCGCGCCGCAGCUAACGCAGUAAGUAUUCCACCUGGGGAGUACGUUCGCAAGAAUGAAACUCAAAGGAAUUGACGGGGACCCGCACAAGCGGUGGAGCAUGUGGUUUAAUUCGAUGAUACGCGAGGAACCUUACCCGGGCUUAAAUUGCAUCUGACAGGUCAGGAGACUGACUCUUCUUCGGACAGAUGUGAAGGUGCUGCAUGGUUGUCGUCAGCUCGUGCCGUGAGGUGUCGGCUUAAGUGCCAUAACGAGCGCAACCCUUGCUUCCAGUUGCCAUCAGGUUAUGCUGGGGACUCUGGAAGGACUGCCAUCGUAAGAUGUGAGGAAGGUGGGGAUGACGUCAAAUCAGCACGGCCCUUACGUCCGGGGCUACACACGUGUUACAAUGGGGGGUACAGCAGGCUGCUACCGGGCGACCGGAUGCCAAUCCCUAAAACCCCUCUCAGUUCGGACUGGAGUCUGCAACCCGACUCCACGAAGCUGGAUUCGCUAGUAAUCGCGCAUCAGCCACGGCGCGGUGAAUACGUUCCCGGGCCUUGCACACACCGCCCGUCA
rnacentral:rRNA from 1 species